rnacentral:rRNA from 1 species
GAUGAACGCUGGCGGCGUGCCUAAUACAUGCAAGUCGAGCGAACGGACGAGAAGCUUGCUUCUCUGAUGUUAGCGGCGGACGGGUGAGUAACACGUGGAUAACCUACCUAUAAGACUGGGAUAACUUCGGGAAACCGUAGCUAAUACCGGAUAAUAUUUUGAACCGCAUGGUUCAAAAGUGAAAGACGGUCUUGCUGUCACUUAUAGAUGGAUCCGCGCUGCAUUAGCUAGUUGGUAAGGUAACGGCUUACCAAGGCAACGAUGCAUAGCCGACCUGAGAGGGUGAUCGGCCACACUGGAACUGAGACACGGUCCAGACUCCUACGGGAGGCAGCAGUAGGGAAUCUUCCGCAAUGGGCGAAAGCCUGACGAAGCAACGCCGCGUGAGUGAUGAAGGUCUUCGGAUCGUAAAACUCUGUUAUUAGGGAAGAACAUAUGUGUAAGUAACUGUGCACAUCUUGACGGUACCUAAUCAGAAAGCCACGGCUAACUACGUG